AACUACUAAAUGUAUAGAGUACACCAGCUUGUAAAACUGGACAUGAUUAACUCAAAUGGAGUAAUUUGGUGGGUAUAAGUAUCAUAUUGCUGGAGGAAGCAGUAAUUUUAUUGUUAGCCAUAAUUUAUCUUCAGCAGUAUUUAAAUUAAAUUUUUGCUUUCCAUUCUUAAGUAUUUAUAUUGAUAGAGAGUAAAAGUAUUUAUAUUGAUAGAUAGUCAAAUUCCACUGAAUAUUAUAAAGGAAAUUAGAUUUACAGAUAAUAAAAUUAUAACCAAUUUCAAUAACAGAAGUGUAAUAAGUAGCACUUUGACUCAAACAUUUAGUGUCAUUGGAUAUGUACACUAUUCCACUAUUGUGAUCCAUAAGAGCAUGCAAGAUGAUGAAAGCAGAUAUUCCAGACUUAUGCAAUCAAUAUUCUCUGUGUUUCUUAAUUACAAUCUUUUAAUAAAUGUAUUUUGUAUAAGUAUCAAUAUAGCUCUAUCUGUAAAAAAAUUGAUAAUGUUGAUAAUGUUCUUACAAAACAUUUGAUACAACUCACAACAGCCUAACUUUGCAGAUAUAUUUUCACUACUUAAAAAAUAUUAGUUUGGAGAAUAGAUUUGUUAAAUUUUACCAAAACUAGUAAACAAACUACUAAACUUUGUCUAUCACCAAGAUUUUUAAAAUACAGAAAUAUUUGAGACGUUGUAUUAUGAAUUUAAAUUAUCUAUAGAAACAACAUCCCGUGAUCAAUCAGCCUCGGUGGCAUUAUCUACCUACAUUCUGUGCGUGGACUGAUGCUUUAAGUUAAGAAUAGACAUUGGGAAUCAUAUGAUAAACCUGAUACAUAGCCAAGACACCAAAGAAAGUUAAAGAGUUCUAGACUGAUUCUAUCUUUGACAGUCUGUGGAGAGGACUACCUGAUUGUUGGUACUUUUGUUUACCUAGUUUCUAAUGGUGUCUUAUUUUUUCCUAUUUCUCUGCCUAGACAGUCUGCUCAAUUGUUUACCAGAUGCUGAUAGAGAAGUUACAAACAUUGAAUAACUGUAUAUUACACUAUAAUAACUAUGAAGAAAAUAGUUUGGUUUUGAAAUAGGAUAACACUCUUGUAGCACAUAUUAACCUAUAAUUCAUGAUCCUACUGUCUCAGCCCUCCUAAGUGCUGACAUUAGAAGUGUAUGCCACCAUGCCUGAUACCAUUCAUAUCUUUUUUCCUUUUUCUUUCAUUUUCUCUCCUUUUUUUUUUUUUUUUUUUUUUUGGCAGGGUUUCUCUGUGUGGUCCUGCCUGUCCUGCAACUCGUUCUGUUGAUCAGGCUGGCCUCGAACUCACAGAAACCAAUCUGCUUAUGUCUAUUCUUUUAUCAAAGGUAAAUCAAACUUUUUUGUUGGACAAUUUACUUGCAAAAUUGAAAUAUUCAAGGGCAAUAGUAGACAUAACAGGCUACAUAAAAUAUAGUUUAUUUAAAUUUACAGAGAAUAUGAAAUUACAUAUAACAUGCUUCAUAUAAGUUCCCUCUUGUACAUUAGAAAAAACACAUUGAGGUUAAGGGUACCCUCCUAUCAAAUCUGCAGUCAGAUUCAACAAUGCUUAAAUAUUGUUGCAUGUUCUUCACUUUUGGAAUAUCAGGUCUUAUAAAAGAUAAGAGACUGCGUUAGGCUGCAAAUAUAAUCCUAAGCAGGCUGUAGAUAAUUUUUUAUCCUUCAAAAGAAAGAUAUAAAAUAUACAAUAUAAUUAAGUGUGUUUGUAUUUGGUUUUAGAAAAAUUAGUUACCAAGCUGUGAUUUGUUAGGCUGUUAUGGUUUGAAUUGACAAAAACAGCCUACAUUGACUAGAAGUAAUUUUUUUCUUGUGAUUUUCUAUAUCCCCUAUCUUCCAUUCUAAGACUAAUGACAGAAUUAUGAGUCUCAUGGCUUUAGUUCUCUGCUUUGCAAAUGAAAUGACAUUUUAUAAUUUAUAAAAGUUAUAAUUAAUGUGUUUCAGGGUGGUUACAUGAAUAUUUGUGAAACUUUCACAAACUGUAGAAAAUUCUUUACUUAUCCCCAAAUUGGUUUUUUCUCAAGGUCUGUUUAUUUGGGGAAGAUGAAAAGAAUGUUCACUUCCUUCCAAUGAGAAAUAAUUUGUCCAUCAACCAUCUAUCAUUUGCCUAUCUAUCAAUAAGUCAUUUCUCGAUAUGUUAUAUACAGAGGAAUUCCACUAUCUUUCUGGAUUUUAAAGGCAGAUUCUAAAUGAAGUGCUGUUGCUUUAUGUUCUGAGAUCAUGCUCUAGCUUUGGACUGCUUUCACGUAGCAUGAUUUAAUUUGCCCCAAAUCAGUGCUACAUUAAGCAGUCGGAGGAACCAGACCUUACUUACACUUUAGCUUUAUGUCUUCUGGCUCAAAGUAGCUUCUUUGCUUGUCAGAGACUUUGUAGGUGUUUUUACCAUGUCUUCUAUGUAUCACUCCAAAAAUUUGCCACGUUAUGACAAAUAAAACGUCUGGAUUGAGAUUGCUCAAAUUGGACAGAAGAAAAAAUUUCCAUUCAUCCUUUCCCUAAUUGUAAUAUUUUGAAGAAAAUAGAGCAAGGCAGUUCUGGGCAAUUUGUUCAUUAAUCAAAUGGCAGUGAAUGCUGAAGUAAAGGAUAAAAUCAUAUUAGAUUAAAAAAAUCCAUCUAUUCAUUUAUGAGAUUAAAUAAUGGAUACGUUCUUUUAUUUAUUAAACAUAUUCAGGAAGAGAAAUUCUACCUAAGGUACUCUACAGGAAACUCAGAAUACAAAACAUUUUAAUAGUAGCUGCUAUCUUUCAUGAGCUCAUACUGUAGGUGAAAGAGACAGAUCAGGUUUAGUAUAAAUUAUGACAAAGCAAGAUAAAGUGCUAUAAAAGAAAAGCUUCUUCCUACAACACAAAAAAAACACAGGAAUUUACCAUUCCUGUGCAAUAAAUUUAGCACCUUUAGUGAUAUUGUCUAAUUAGGGUUUCAUUUCAGCCUCUUGCUGAGUCAUCUG
rnacentral:lncRNA from 1 species